CUGACACCAUCACUGGAGAUCAUGAGUAAAGGAAAGCAUCUGGGUCUAGAAAUACCUCCUGACAAGCUCUCCGCACAAUGAUAUGAUAGUAUUAUAAUACAGGGUGUGUCAAAUGUGCGUGUGGAUCAUUGGGUCAACCUGAAAAAGUUUGACAGUGUCUAGGUUCAACCCAAAAGGUCAAAAUACAGAUACAGAAAGUCGACAUGGGAAAAAGGUCAACACAGGAAAAGGUCAAUGAAAUCUCCACCUGGGAGCGGGAAGGAUGCCAGCCAGACGCUGAUGGUUUGCGGCGCAGCAAAGAAGGCAAGCCAGUGGCACCCAGAUCACUUUUACCUGCAUUGGCUCAGGUCAGUCAUGGUCUUGACCCAUGCAUCUAAAACUGCAAUGACUAAUUUAGUCGGGACCUACUGGUACGCCCCAGGAUUCUCUACAUUGGCUUCUGAAUUUUGCCAGGGCUGUCUAAUUUGUCUCCAAAACAAUCCAGGUAGAAAAGUGCCUACAAUAUCAUCACACCUUCCCACCACAGGUGGUACAAAUUGAUUACAUUCAGCUCCCAAAGCCGAGCAGUCCUGCAGCCUGCCAUGAUUUGAUGCCUGGUGACUUUGAUGAUAAAAAAACUUUUUAAGUUGCAGUCCUUUGUCCGAACGGUGGGAGGGACCAUUCCAGGUACUGUUGAUGACCCCAACGGCUGUGAAAGUUGGUGAAAGGUCCACCUGGAUACACGCUUCACAUUGCAAAAAGGUCCUCUCUGACCUGCCCCGAGGUGAACCAGAAAACAUCCUGCAGACCACCUCACCUGUGUUGCUCACAGUACUGUGACCACCAGAAAGGAUAUAAUAAAGCCCCUGGCAUGGUAGGCAAGCCUAUGCUACCA